GAUCAUACCAGCACUAAUGCACCGGAUCCCAUCAGAACUCCGCAGUUUAAGCGUGCUUGGGCGAGAGUAGUUCUAGGAUUGGUGACCUCGUGG
rnacentral:rRNA from 1 species